AUUGCACGCUGGCGGCAGGCCUAACACAUGCAAGUCGAACGAGUGGCGGACGGGUGAGUAAUGUCUGGGAAACUGCCUGGUAGCGGGGGAUAACUACUGGAAACGGUAGCUACUACCGCAUCCUAUCCGAUUUGCCCAGAUGGGAUUAGCUAGUUGGGGGGGUAACGGCUCACCACGGCGACGAUCACUAGCUGGUCUGAGAGGAUGACCAGCCACACUGGGACUGAGACACGGUCCAGACUCCUACGGGAGGCAGCAGUGGGGAAUAUUGGACAAUGGGAGCAAGCCUGAUGCAGCCAUGCCGCGUGUAUGAAGAAGGCCUUCGGGUUGUAAAGUACUUUCAGCGGGGAGGCGGUACCCGCAGAAGAAGCACCGGCUAACUCCGGGCCAGCAGCCGCGGUAAUUC
rnacentral:rRNA from 1 species